rnacentral:rRNA from 1 species
GAUGAACGCUGGCGGCGUGCUUAACACAUGCAAGUCGAACGGUGAACGAGGGAGCUUGCUCCCUCCGGAUCAGUGGCGAACGGGUGAGUAACACGUGAGCAAUCUGCCCUGGACUCUGGGAUAAGCGUUGGAAACGACGUCUAAUACCGGAUACGAGGCGUGGGGGCAUCCCCAACGCCUGGAAAGAACUUCGGUCCAGGAUGAGCUCGCGGCCUAUCAGCUAGUUGGUGAGGUAACGGCUCACCAAGGCGACGACGGGUAGCCGGCCUGAGAGGGUGACCGGCCACACUGGGACUGAGACACGGCCCAGACUCCUACGGGAGGCAGCAGUGGGGAAUAUUGCACAAUGGGCGCAAGCCUGAUGCAGCAACGCCGCGUGAGGGACGACGGCCUUCGGGUUGUAAACCUCUUUUAGCAGGGAAGAAGCGAAAGUGACGGUACCUGCAGAAAAAGCACCGGCUAACUACGUGCCAGCCGCCGCCGUAAAAC